GAGGGUCUAGCUCAGUGGUAGAGUGCUUGCCUGUCAUGCAGAAGGCCCAGGUUUCAAUCCCAGAACUCUAG
rnacentral:tRNA from 1 species